UCAUUUUUUAUCAAUUGAAAAAAUCAAUUAUAUAUCUAGAAAAAAUUGAACAAUAUAUCAACUAUCACGAAUAAUUUUUUUAUUAAUGUUAUUAUCUUUUUAUUUUUAUUUUUAUUUGUAUUUAUUUAUUUUCAGUCUUCGUUUACAUUUACCGCCGGCAAUUGAGGGGUGGGCUCAAAGACUACGUUGUUCCUGCCGCUGGCGAGCACUGUGACUCGCGGGGAAAAAGUGUGCCGCAACGGUCACAAAUUGUAUCAUUAUCAUCGUGCACUUCAAGAUAAAACCCAUUAAUUCCCAGUACAACAAAUUAUAAAAGAAACGUAAUAAAUAAAUGUAUACAAGAACUGAAAAGUGAACCGCAUAUAUGCUUUUAAACAGAAGUCGCCUUCUACUCGUCAUCUUUGUUCUGCGUUUUGUAGAUCCGCAACUUGAAGAUGAAGUUUUCAAGAUCUGGAAUUUAAGAUCAGAGUGCGCGCUCGUAUUGAUCGCGUGAAGGAGCAUUUUCGAUCUGCAGAUCUGGGUAGAUCUCGUGAAGUGUGAGUGGAAGAAGAAGUGAAUUGUUGUGGCGGAAAUCGUGGCGAGCGAGGAAGCCUAGUGCCCUUGAUGAAGACGGGGACGAGUUUCGGGUCGGAUCCUUGGAGCGCGGAGAGGAGCUCGGGGGAGGAGCAGGGGGCGGCGAGGCGGCAGAGGUGAGGGACGAAGUGGUAGACGACGUAACGGGCAGGGGAGGCGAAGCAGUGGGAAAUGGCGCGUCUUUCGGGUUCUGGAAAGGUUGGUUGCACAAGAAGAGGAGUGGAUCUGGAAGUGGGUUGCGGAGAGGUCUCGUCGUAGAGAAAGAGGACUCAGAUUAAAAAAAAAAAAAACUUUUAAUAAUUUUUAAUUUUUUUUCUUCGGGUUUGAAACAUGCUGCCACCGGUAAUUUUAACACUUCCACAGGUGGUCCACUUUGCUUCAGCUUCACCUAUUGUAGGUAAAGUAUCCACUCAGCCAUUAAAUAAUGAAAAGUUUGUUUCAUGUUUUCUUUUGAAAAAAUUGUAAUUUGG
rnacentral:lncRNA from 1 species